rnacentral:rRNA from 1 species
AGUGAACGCUGGCGGUAGGCCUAACACAUGCAAGUCGAACGGCAGCACAGUAAGAGCUUGCUCUUACGGGUGGCGAGUGGCGGACGGGUGAGGAAUACAUCGGAAUCUACUUUUUCGUGGGGGAUAACGUAGGGAAACUUACGCUAAUACCGCAUACGACCUACGGGUGAAAGCAGGGGAUCUUCGGACCUUGCGCGAUUGAAUGAGCCGAUGUCGGAUUAGCUAGUUGGCGGGGUAAAGGCCCACCAAGGCGACGAUCCGUAGCUGGUCUGAGAGGAUGAUCAGCCACACUGGAACUGAGACACGGUCCAGACUCCUACGGGAGGCAGCAGUGGGGAAUAUUGGACAAUGGGCGCAAGCCUGAUCCAGCCAUACCGCGUGGGUGAAGAAGGCCUUCGGGUUGUAAAGCCCUUUUGUUGGGAAAGAAAAGCGGCAGGUUAAUACCCCGCUGCUCUGACGGUACCCAAAGAAUAAGCACCGGCUAACUUCGUG